UACGGAGGAUGCAAGCGUUAUCCGGGAUGAUUGGACGUAAAGCGUCCGCAGGUGGUGUUGUAAGUCUGUUGUUAAAGCGUGCGGCUUAACCGCAUAAGGGCGAUGGAAACUACAAGACUAGAGUGCGUUAGGGGUAGAGGGAAUUCCUGGUGUAGCGGUGAAAUGCGUAGAGAUCAGGAAGAACACCGGUGGCGAAAGCGCUCUACUAUGCCGCAACUGACACUGAGGGACGAAAGCUAGGGGAGCGAAUGGG
rnacentral:rRNA from 1 species